rnacentral:rRNA from 1 species
CCUACGGGAGGCAGCAGUGGGGAAUAUUGGACAAUGGGCGCAAGCCUGAUCCAGCAAUGCCGCGUGAGUGAUGAAGGCCUUAGGGUCGUAAAGCUCUUUUACCAGGGAUGAUAAUGACAGUACCUGGAGAAUAAGCUCCGGCUAACUCCGUGCCAGCAGCCGCGGUAAUACGGAGGGAGCUAGCGUUGUUCGGAAUUACUGGGCGUAAAGCGUACGUAGGCGGUUAUUCAAGUCAGAGGUGAAAGCCCGGGGCUCAACCCCGGAACGGCCUUUGAAACUAGGUAGCUAGAAUCUUGGAGAGGUCAGUGGAAUUCCGAGUGUAGAGGUGAAAUUCGUAGAUAUUCGGAAGAACACCAGUGGCGAAGGCGACUGACUGGACAAGUAUUGACGCUGAGGUACGAAAGCGUGGGGAGCAAACAGGAUUAGAUACCCUGGUAGUCCACGCCGUAAACGAUGAUAACUAGCUGUCCGGGCACUUGGCGCCUGGGUGGCGCAGCUAACGCAUUAAGUUAUCCGCCUGGGGAGUACGGUCGCAAGAUUAAAACUCAAAUGAAAUUGACGG